CCCUUAGAUGUUCUGGGCCGCACGCGCGCUACACUGACGAAUGCAACGAGCUUAGAACCUUGGCCGAAAGGUCUGGGUAAUCUCCAAAUUUCGUCGUGAUGGGGAUAGAUUAUUGCAAUUAUUAAUCUUCAACGAGGAAUGCCUAGUAAGCGCAAGUCAUCAGCUUGCGUUGAUUACGUCCCUGCCCUUUGUACACACCGCCCGUCGCUCCUACCGAUUGAAUGGUCCGGUGAAGCGUUCGGACCGUGGCCUUUGGACGGUUCGCCGUCUGUUGGCUGCGGGAAGUUCGUUAAACCUUAUCAUUUAGAGGAAGGAGAAGUCGUAACA
rnacentral:rRNA from 1 species